CUGCAAAGUUGCAUUUGAAUUUGUUUGGCCAUUGGUACUAGAACUCUAAGUUUGUUGUAAAAAUUAAUCUUACUAUUACCGGUGGAAUUCUUUUUGUCAUAGAGGUGUCAUGCCAGCUGGACCCCUUAGCUAUUUGUAUGUAAGAAUCAGGGUCGGGUACUCAUUGGGCAAUUUUAUUAAUACAAUAGAGAAUGAAAUCUCUGGUUCUCCUAGGUUACAGGGGGGGGUUUCCGACGUCAAUUAUCUAUUCCUAAACUCUGUUCCAUCCAAAGCUUUGUUCUGAUGUGACAAGGAGUGCAGUGACCCUGUGAGUCUGUUACAGAAACAGAGGAUCGAAUUCUCUGGAGGAUGUGAGAAGUAGAAACCAGAGGCAUUUUUCCUUUCUUUUUUUUUUUUUUA